ACAGCCUUGUCAUAUCUUUACUCAGAUGAUGAAGCUGGAAGUGUUUUAUGAAGUGAUAUUGUAUUUUUUGGUGUAAUGGAACUCAGCAGCUCAGCAAAGUAAAGGUCUAAGGCAACCAGCAGAUACUAGAUGAUGUUUUCUUAAUAAAAUGCAGAGUUUGAGAAGGAGAGAAGGCAGUGGGAGGAAUCUCAGAAAAUCAGUCCCUGAUUUUGUAUGAAAAAAGCUGAUUUCCAACCAGGAAGAUCUCUCUUCAUUUGCACCAGGUUGAAAAGCUAUACACUUCUCUGGGAAGUGGGAUCCCAGGACCCUGCAUCCCACAGUCCUCCACUCCCCAUUCAUCCUCCUGCCCUCCCCCCACAAGAGGAGGGAGGUAAAGAAUCUGCUACUGAUCCUGCUGCCCCUGCUGGAUCUAGGACAGUUCCUGGAUUGUUCAAGCAUCAGCACCCAUUUGAACAGAUCUGUCACCCCCAUAUCUGUGAAAGAGAUGGGGAGACAUUCUCCUGUGACCCCAUCAUUCAAGCUGUAGGAGAAUGACCCAGUCCUGACAAUUAGCUGAUUGAUGGGACAAAGCCAUUCUCCAUGGCUGAAGAAUGGUUGUAUCUGACCAACCUGAUGGUGGGUGGUUGGACCCAGAAAGGUGCUGCGCGAACAGGCCGGGGACGGAAGGGUUACAGGACCUUGUUUCUCCUUCUCUUAUCUCUCUUCCCGUCGAUGGAAAACCAAUUAAGG